CUUAAAGUUCCUCUUGAUCAAAAAUAGCCCCAAAGGGCAUCAGCCUAAUGGCUAAUGUCAGCAUGACCAUAAACCACAAAUAACAUCUCUGACAAGAAACAUUCCAACCCUAAGAUAAACCCCUCCCUGACCAGAGACAUGCCAGCCCUGAGAUAACCUCCCCUCUGGCCAGAGACAUUCCAACCCCCGCAAUAAACUUCUCCUCCACACAGAAACAUUCCAAGCCUGUGAAAAGGUCUUGCUCUGUUGCCCAGGCUGGAAUGCCAUGGCACGAUCUCAGCUCCUUGCAGCCUUGACCUCCCAGGCUCAAGCAAUCCUCCUGCCUCAGCCUCCUGAGGAAACUACAGGGUGCAGCACCUCGCCCUGCUCUCGCUUCUUCCUUCUCCAGCCAUGUACGACAUGCCUGCUUCCCCUUUGCCUUCUGCCAUGAUUAUGUUUCCUGAGGCCUCCCCAGCCAUGCUUCCUGUACAGCCUGCAUAACUGGGCAACUUAGACAGAUACAGACGCACAUAGAAGAAACAUGAUGUGACGACUAGACAAACAUAGAAAGUAGACGACUAUCUAUAAACCCAUAAAAGAGACCUGGAAUAGAUUAUUUACUCACGGCC
rnacentral:lncRNA from 10 species